CUUACACAAGAUGUAAAGGAAAAAUCUCUAGUACGGGAAAUGAGAUUGAGAUCCUCUCUCUUAUAACUGGAAACUGGAAAAGAAGUGGGAAAUAGGUUCAACCACACCUUUAUUAUCAGCUUGUACAAGGAUUUUAUUAAACUGCAGUUGUUGCACCCAUUGCAAACUCUCCGAUACUGCUAAAGCCUUAGCUUGGUCAAUGUAGUAGAGAUAGCUUCGGCAGUUAAGAACUCUCCUGCAUCAUUACGAAUCACAACACCCAGAAGCAGAAUUAUUAUUAAAACACAUAGAUGCAUCAACAUUGAUGAAAAUCCAACCAACAGGAGGGGACCAAUGCAUAUGCUGAGCAGGGAUCCGUUGUGAACUCUAAUUGAAAUCCCAAUUCAGGUCUAACAGCCGGAUCAAUACACAAUGAAUAACAAGCAAUGGAUAGAUGGAUACCCGGCAUUUCCAUGCAAAGAUGUCGAUGUUCUGCUUUAGUAGCUCGAUCAUGCUCAGCUUUUCUGCAGCACACUGAGGACAGAGUCACUUGAUCAUCAA